UACAGAGGGGGCAAGCGUUGUUCGGAAUUACUGGGCGUAAAGGGCGCGUAGGCGGCCUGCUAAGUCGAACGUGAAAUCCCUGGGCUUAACCGAGGAACUGCGUCUGAUACUGGAUGGCUUGAGUUUGGGAGAGGGAUGCGGAAUUCCAGGUGUAGCGGUGAAAUGCGUAGAUAUUGGGAGGAACACCAGUGGCGAAGGCGGCUCACUGGACCGGUACUGACGCUGAGGCGCGAAAGCGUGGGUAGCAAACAGG
rnacentral:rRNA from 1 species